CAAUAUAAACACAUCUUUAAAAUCAGUUGUCAGUAAAGCAAUAUUUACUGCAAUUGAAGUUUUCAAUGAGCCGGUUUUUACACGUCCGUUUUGGAAAAAGUUUCUUAUUUGUUGGAAUUGCCUCUCGAAGGAUUGAAGAACGCGAAAAUGUGAUUUUAAACUAGAAAAAUAGCGAUUGUAAAGGAAAUGUUGACGAUUUUUGUGACGUAAAUUGUUGGCGGGACAUUAAGGAUGGGAAGCUUUCAAAUUGAGACCCGGUAUAUUGGAAAACAAGAGCAUUCUACAGGGUGACCAAGAAGCCAAAAUGCAAAAGAUCUCGUGAGAAUAAUGACCGGAGUAUGGGGGUCUCAAGGGGUUUUUAAGAAACGGCCCACAAGGUAACAACAAAACCGUGUAAAAUUGUAGAAACCGGGUAAAAAAUUUCGCCUUUUAUGCGAAAAUUUACAAUAGUAUCCAGGUGCAGUACCAUUCGGAAAAAAUCAAAUUCAAAAUUAUCUUAUAUGUACGGAGGCGAAUGCUCAAAUGUUAUAGAAACCUCCAAUACAUUUCUAAGUUUCUGUGACAAAUACAUCAACAUUUACCAGAUAAA